UACGGAGGGUGCAAGCGUUAUCCGGAUUCACUGGGUUUAAAGGGUGCGUAGGUGGCUUUGUAAGUCAGUGGUGAAAGCCCGGAGCUUAACUCCGGAACUGCCAUUGAUACUGCUUAGCUUGAAUCAGGUCGAGGUGGAUGGAAUAUUACAUGUAGCGGUGAAAUGCUUAGAUAUGUAAUAGAACACCGAUUGCGAAGGCAGUUCACUAGGCCUGAAUUGACACUGAGGCACGAAAGCGUGGGGAUCAAACAGG
rnacentral:rRNA from 1 species